rnacentral:tRNA from 2 species
GCGCCCGUAGCUCAGCUGGAUAGAGUGACAGGCUACGAACCUGGAGGUCGGGGGUUCGAAUCCCUCCGGGCGCGCCA